rnacentral:rRNA from 1 species
AUUGAACGCUGCGGCAGGCUUAACACAUGCAAGUCGAGCGAGCGGCGGACGGGUGAGUAAUGCUUAGGAAUCUGCCUAUUAGUGGGGGACAACAUCACGUACGGGAUGCUAAUACCGCUUCCUAAUAGAUGAGCCUAAGUCGGAUUAGCUAGUUGGGGGGGUAAAGGUCUACCAAGGCGACGACCCCUAGCUGGUCUGAGAGGAUGACCAGCCACGCUGUAACUGGGACACGGUCCAGACACCUACGGGAGGCAGCAGUGGGGAAUAUUGCACAAUGGGCGCAAGCCUGAUGCAGCCAUGCCGCGUGUGUGAAGAAGGCCUUCGGGUUGUAAAGCGCUUUCAGCAGGGAGGCGUUGCCCGCAGAAGAAGCACCGGCUAACUCCGUGCCAGCAGCCGCGGUAAUAC